rnacentral:rRNA from 1 species
CUAUCAAUGCUGACGAGCGGCGGACGGGUGAGUAAUGCCUGGGAAUAUACCCUGAUGUGGGGGAUAACUAUUGGAAACGAUAGCUAAUACCGCAUAAUCUCUUCGGAGCAAAGAGGGGGACCUUCGGGCCUCUCGCGUCAGGAUUAGCCCAGGUGGGAUUAGCUAGUUGGUGGGGUAAUGGCUCACCAAGGCGACGAUCCCUAGCUGGUCUGAGAGGAUGAUCAGCCACACUGGAACUGAGACACGGUCCAGACUCCUACGGGAGGCAGCAGUGGGGAAUAUUGCACAAUGGGGGAAACCCUGAUGCAGCCAUGCCGCGUGUAUGAAGAAGGCCUUCGGGUUGUAAAGUACUUUCAGUUGUGAGGAAGGCGUUGGAGUUAAUAGCUUCAGCGCUUGACGUUAGCAACAGAAGAAGCACCGGCUAACUCCGUGCCAGCAGCCGCGGUAAUACGGAGGGUGCGAGCGUUAAUCGGAAUUACUGGGCGUAAAGCGCAUGCAGGCGGUCUGUUAAGCAAGAUGUGAAAGCCCGGGGCUCAAC